UGUCCAGCACAACUCUUCUCUUUCUCCCUUUUACCCAUUAGCUAGCCCAAAUACUCCAAACCUGACCCGGUCCAUGUCAUCCCCUCUUCCUCAAAUAUCCUGAACAAAACAAUGGAGCCAAGGUACAAUCAGUUUCUGUCCUUUUCAACAUACAAAACCAUCUCCAACAACCCAUCAACGACCCGUCAAAGCAGGUACCACUUCGACGAACUCGCUUUUCACAGUCUCAAACCGACCCGAUCCAUCUCCAACGUCACAAACUCCGAAUCUUCUAGAAACAUGCACAGGUGUCCUCUAACGUUCAAAAUUCGUUUGUAAUGGAUAGAGUUGUACGAAUUCGUACAUAGGUGGAGAAUUUUCUUUGGCUCUUGAAGAUAAUUCUUCCUUCUCAAUUUCUAUUGGCUAGAUUUUGAAUUGACAACGGAUUGGGUACAUUUUGUUGAUGGAGAUCCUUGGCUUGAGCGGGAAUCCGGGGAAAACGUUCCCAUUUUUUAUUUAAACUUCCCAAUUUACCCUUUAAUCUUCCUACUCUCACAUCGACUGAAGCCCUAAAGAACGAACCCUAGCCUAUUCUCUAUAUAAGGGUCAUUUUAGGAGCAAAAGCAGAGGAGAGAGGUGGGGGAAAAGGGGAAGUAUUUUUUUGGUUGGAAAAUUUCCUGGAUAGCUAGGUCAAAAACCAAAAAAGUGGAAAAACUUUGCUUGGAUUGAAAAGAAGAGCAGGAGAAAAGUAGAGAAAAGGGGGGAAGGGAAAACUUAAAGGUUAGAAAUUCUAGGGUUCCUGAAAAAAACUGAAGAAUUUUUUUUUGAGGGGCUGGUUCGAACAGUGGGGUCAAAACUGUGAAAAAAUUCUCUUUCUUUCUUCUUUUUGGGAAGCUGGUCGAUCAAUCGGAAAUUUCUGAGUAGAUAACCUCAACUCCCGGUGGUAACGGUUCUGCUGAUAGCUCGUCGUCCCGUUUUGCUGUCCUUAAGGAGACAAGAAGAUGAUGUCGCUCCUGAGACGGUUCAUACAUGAAACAAAAAAAAAAAGAAAUGGCGAUAUACUUAGUGUGUAGGUGUGAGAAGUUGAGUAUGGUAGGUUUGAGAAGAGGAAAAAGUUAGUCAAACCUGCUCCCAUUUCGAUUUCGAGUCAAGAUGCUAUAGUUAUUAAAGUCUCUCGACGGCGGGAAUGGGAGAUUACCGGUAAGCCAGAUGAAAAAGUGUUGGUAAGAGGUGAUUAAAUUGGAUAUGACACACAUAAAACUUAUUGAGGACAUGAUUUGGAUAUAGAGGUCAAGAAUUAGGAUAAUUAUCUAAUUUUAUAGUACUAUUAUCAUUACUCUCUUAUUAUCUUUUUCUUUGAUUUCAUUACUACCCGUUAUUUUCUUUGUUUUGUUAUUGUAUUAUAUAUUAUUGUUAUUGCUC